rnacentral:rRNA from 1 species
UUGUCAGGCCUAACACAUGCAAGUCGCACGGUCAGCAAUGGCAGUGGCGGACGGGUGAGUAACACGUAGGAAUCUAUCCUGGGGUGGGGGACAACAGCGGGAAACUGCUGCUAAUACCGCAUGAUACCUGAGGGUCAAAGGCGCAAGUCGCCUUGGGAGGAGCCUGCGUCUGAUUAGCUUGUUGUUGGGGUAAAGGCCUACCAAGGCGACGAUCAGUAGCUGGUCUGAGAGGAUGAUCAGCCACAUUGGGACUGAGACACGGCCCAAACUCCUACGGUAGGCAGCAGUCGUGAAUAUUGAAAACACUGGGCGAUACCCUGAUCCAGCAAUGCCGCGUGUGUGAAGAAGGUCUUCGGAUUGUAAAGCACUUUUGGCAGGCACGAUGAUGACGGUACCUGCAGAAUAAC